rnacentral:rRNA from 1 species
UACGAAGGGGGCUAGCGUUGUUCGGAAUUACUGGGCGUAAAGGGCGCGUAGGCGGUGUGUCACGUCAGGCGUGAAAGCCCCGGGCUCAACCUGGGAACCGCGCUUGAGACUGGCAGGCUAGAGUUCGGGAGAGGAUGGUGGAAUUCCCAGUGUAGAGGUGAAAUUCGUAGAUAUUGGGAAGAACACCGAUGGCGAAGGCAGCCAUCUGGACCGACACUGACGCUGAGGCGCGAAAGCGUGGGGAGCAAACAGG